rnacentral:pre_miRNA from 14 species
UGCCGAGCUGCAUACUUCCUUACAUGCCCAUACUAUAUCAGUAAUGGAUAUGGAAUGUAAAGAAGUAUGUAGAACGGUU